rnacentral:rRNA from 1 species
AGAGUUUGAUCCUGGCUCAGGACGAACGCUGGCGGCAUGCCUAAUACAUGCAAGUCGAACGAUGAUAUCACUGCUUGCAGUGAUUGAUUAGUGGCGAACGGGUGAGUAACACGUGAGGAACUUGCCCAUGAGCGGGGGACAACAUUCGGAAACGGAUGCUAAUACCCCAUAGGUGGAUUGGUCGCAUGACGAAUUCAUUAAAGGUGGCUUUGCUACCACUCAUGGAUAGCCUCGCGGCGUAUUAGCUAGUUGGUAAGGUAAUGGCUUACCAAGGCGGCGACGGGUAGCCGGCCUGAGAGGGUGGACGGCCACAUUGGGACUGAGACACGGCCCAGACUCCUACGGGAGGCAGCAGUGGGGAAUAUUGCACAAUGGGCGGAAGCCUGAUGCAGCGACGCCGCGUGGGGGAUGACGGCCUUCGGGUUGUAAACUCCUUUCACCAUCGACGAAGGUUUUCUGACGGUAGAUGGAGAAGAAGCACCGGCUAACUACGUGCCAGCAGCCGCGGUAAUACGUAGGGUGCGAGCGUUGUCCGGAAUUACUGGGCGUAAAGAGCUCGUAGGUGGUUUGUCGCGUCGUCUGUGAAAUUCCGGGGCUUAACUCCGGGCGUGCAGGCGAUACGGGCAUAACUUGAGUACUGUAGGGGAGACUGGAAUUCCUGGUGUAGCGGUGAAAUGCGCAGAUAUCAGGAGGAACACCGGUGGCGAAGGCGGGUCUCUGGGCAGUAACUGACGCUGAGGAGCGAAAGCAUGGGUAGCGAACAGGAUUAGAUACCCUGGUAGUCCAUGCCGUAAACGGUGGGCGCUAGGUGUAGGGGUCUUCCACGACUUCUGUGCCGUAGCUAACGCAUUAAGCGCCCCGCCUGGGAGUACGGCCGCAAGGCUAAAACUCAAAUGAAUUGACGGGA